AUGCCCAUGUCUGGCAGUCAGACACAAUCUAGCGACUAUGAGCUUCUUGCCAGCCAACCCGAUGCUCAAUGCCUAGUUUGCACGAGACCUUUUACUUUGGAUACUGAGGUGACCAAUAGCUUUGAAGCUUUAGCUAUAUGCAGGGAAUGCAAGGCUACUGUGCUUAAUGAUAGUCAAAGAGAUGUAACAACCAGCACUAGUCAGCAAAGACGACAAAGAAGGCGGAGAUCUAGGACUGCAAGUCUUGAAUCUAAUGAGGAUGCAUUCUCACAGCAGUUUUCCCAACUGAUCAACUUAGCUAGACAGGGCCAUGAAGCAGAUAUUGAUUCUCCGACCGUUGUGCGACAGCUGGCAUCUUAUAAUUCUACACCGAACCAGUCCCAAAGGUGGCAUGCUUCAGAUGAUGAGAGUGACGGUCUCAGUUAUGCUGAUUCUGUGUUUGACGAGCUUGAAUCAAACAUCAGUUUUGGGGACUAUGGCGGGGAGUCAGAUGCUUCUCUAGGUCAACAUAGCAUGAUGGGAAGGGAGAUUACCAUUCAACUUGACAACGAGAGUUACAUGAAUACCGAUACAGAUAUUGAUCCCAUGAAUGCUGGAAUGGACCUGUGGGAUUCAGAUGACCAAGAGGAUGAAGAUGUGCAGUUGGAAGAAUCUGAUUUUGAUGAAGCAGUUGAUGCCAUGCAGCAGCACCAGCAGCAAUCACGUGGCAUUGGCCCCAGUGAAUUGACUGGGUGGGAGUCUGAAGAUGGGGUAUGGACUUGGAGAAGUCAAAGAGCAAAUAUGACCAACUUGAUGGCAGACAUGGAAGGGCCAGAUGUCAGGACACCUUUUGUUGGGAAUCCUGGUGAUUAUGCUGAUGCAAGACAGUUUGAGAUGAUUCUUGAACAAUUUGCUGAGGACGACAGUUCCAGAAGAGGAGCUCCACCUGCAGCGACCUCUUUCAUUGGAAAUCUUCCCUCUCUGGUUAUCUCCACAAGCCAUGAGGCAGAUGGCGCUGUGAUCUGUCCAGUCUGCAAAGACCCGAUGCCUCUCAGAACUAGAGCAAAACAGCUACCAUGCAUGCAUCUAUAUCAUUCGUCAUGCAUCUUGCCGUGGCUUAGUUCCAGGAAUACAUGCCCAGUUUGCCGAUAUGAACUUCCUACAGAUGAUCCAGAAUCCGAGAGGUCCGAGCGAGCUGCAACAAAUGAAAGAGAUGUCCUUGGGGUGGAGGAACACACCCAUCUGCAGGAAAUUGGUGAAGAAGGUUCUGAUGAACCUGGGGCUGAAGAAACUCAGGACAUGUUUAAUGAUGCAGUGGAAGUGACUAAUACAAGUGAACAUGGUGUUCAUGUUGCUGAGCAGUCAAACAGAGCAUGUGCCCACCGUCGAUGGCUGUUUAUUGCAGUUGCCCCAGCAGUAAGCUUUGUCGGUUUAGCUCUGGUUUUGUGCUUUGCAAAUCCUACUAGUAGUGGUAGAAGGCGACUGUGUCGUGGAUCCCAGAGUGCCUCUGCAGCACUUGUAGACACAAAAAGAAGUUGGUGGUCCAUGUUCUAG
rnacentral:rRNA from 1 species